GAGGGUAUAGCUCAAACGGUAGAGCACAUACUGAGCAUGCAUGAGGUCCUGGGUUCAAUCCCCAGCACCUCCU
rfam:Camelus ferus unplaced genomic scaffold scaffold459, whole genome shotgun sequence.